CAAUAGCGUAUAUUAAAGUUGUUGCGGUUAAAAAGCUCGUAGUUGGAUUUCUGCUGAGGACGAUCGGUCCGCCCUCUGGGUGAGCAUUGACUCGGCCUUGGCAUCUUCUUGGAGAACGCUACUGCACUUGACUGUGUGGUGCGGUAUCCAGGACUUUUACUUUGAGGAAAUUAGAGUGUUUCAAGCAGGCGCACGCCUUGAAUACAUUAGCAUGGAAUAAUAACAUAGGACUUUGGUUCUAUUUUGUUGGUUGGUAGGGCCAAGGUAAUGAUUAAUAGGGAUAGUUGGGGGUAGUUCAUAUUUAAUUGUCAGAGGUGAAAUUCUUGGAUUUAUGAAAGAUGAACUCAUGCGAAAGCAUUUACCUAAGGAUGUUUUCAUUAAUCAAGAACGAAAGUU
rnacentral:rRNA from 1 species